rnacentral:rRNA from 1 species
AUGGAAAGAUACUGGUGGAGUAACUCGAUUGAUAAGCGUUCUCUGCACUGGAUAUCUUGGAAGAGACUUUCAACACCCAAGUGUAAUGGAGGUAUGGGUUUCCGUGACCUACAUCUCUUCAACUUGGCUCUACUCGGCAAACAGGGAUGGCGGCUGUUGACAAGCCCGGACUCGUUGUGUGCUCGAGUUCUUAAGGGCAGGUAUUUCCCGGACUCGGAUUUCAUGCAAGCUUCUGUUCCUAAACGUUCAUCUGCUACUUGGAGGGCCAUUAUUUCUGGUCGGGAGGCGUUACUCACCUGACUGAUCAAGAGGGUGGGCGACGGAUCAUCAAUCUCGGUCUGGGAUGACCGUUGGAUUCCAUCUACGACAACAAUGGCGUCAUUGCUCAGGCCUCCAAACCCUAAUAUCUCUAGGGUAAGCGACCUGAUCGAUACCGGAAACUGGACAUGGCGGCGACAGUUGGUUCGGGACACAUUCAUAUUACCAGACGCGGAGGCCAUCCUCAAUAUUCCACUCCGGUCUGGUGGGGGUGAUGAUUUUCUUGCAUGGACACAUGAAACUUCAGGCAACUACACCGUUAAAUCGGCGUACCGAGCUCUUAUGAUUCGUAACGAGCGUCAAGAUCUAGAAGAAGGGCCGGAUACCGGAUCCUCGAUUGAUAAUCAGCGGCUGUGGAAUGGCUUGUUGAAGUUAAAUGUGAUGCCAAAAGUGAGAGUGUUCUUCUGGCGGGUGCUUAGGGGAAUUCUGCUUGAUGAGUGUACCCUAAAGCACCGGCAUUUGCGCCAGAUAGGACUUUGCAAAAUAUGCAUGGCGAUGGAUGGGGACAUGGGGCACGCUCUGUUGAUAUGCUCACACGCAAGGAAAUUUUGGGAUGAAGCCUAA